rnacentral:rRNA from 1 species
UGCNGUCGAACGGUAACAUUUCUAGCUUGCUAGAAGAUGACGAGUGGCGGACGGGUGAGUAAUGCUUGGGAACUUGCCUUUGCGAGGGGGAUAACAGUUGGAAACGACUGCUAAUACCGCAUAAUGUCUACGGACCAAACGGGGCUUAGGCUCCGGCGCAAAGAGAGGCCCAAGUGAGAUUAGCUAGUUGGUAAGGUAACGGCUUACCAAGGCGACGAUCUCUAGCUGUUCUGAGAGGAAGAUCAGCCACACUGGGACUGAGGCACGGCCCAGACUCCUACGGGAGGCAGCAGUGGGGAAUAUUGCACAAUGGGGGAAACCCUGAUGCAGCCAUGCCGCGUGUGUGAAGAAGGCCUUCGGGUUGUAAAGCACUUUCAGUUGUGAGGAAAAGUUAGUAGUUAAUACCUGCUAGCCGUGACGUUAACAACAGAAGAAGCACCGGCUAACUCCGUGCCAGCAGCCGCGGUAAUACGGAGGGUGCGAGCGUUAAUCGGAAUUACUGGGCGUAAAGCGCACGCAGGCGGUUUGUUAAGCUAGAUGUGAAAGCCCCGGGCUCAACCUGGGAUGGUCAUUUAGAACUGGCAGACUAGAGUCUUGGAGAGGGGAGUGGAAUUCCAGGUGUAACGGUGAAAUGCGUAGAUAUCUGGAGGAACAUCAGUGGCGAANGCGACUCCCUGGCCAAAGACUGACGCUCAUGUGCGAAAGUGUGGGUAGCGAACAGGAUUAGAUACCCUGGUAGUCCACACCGUAAACNCUGUCUACUAGCUGUGUGUGCCUUUNNNGCGUGCGUAGCGAAGCUAACGCGCUNAGUAGANCGCCUGGNGNGUNCGGNCGCANNNNUAAAACUCAAAUNANUUGANNGGGGNCCNNCACAAGCNGNGGANCNUGUNGUUUANUNCNAUGCNNCNNGAAGAACCNUUANCNNCNNUUGACAUGNANANAACUUUCUAGANA